GCGGGGAUAGCUCAGUUGGGAGAGCGUCAGACUGAAGUCAAAACUUCAUUCCACAUCUUGGUGUAUCCAUGAUAAUCUGAAGGUCGUGUGUUCGAUCCACACUCACCGCA
rnacentral:tRNA from 1 species